GGGGAUACAGCUCAGUUAGUAGAGUGCUUGCCUUGCAUGUAUGAGACCCUAGGUUCAAUCCCCAGUACCACCA
rfam:Ictidomys tridecemlineatus contig053202, whole genome shotgun sequence.